AAAGCGUGCGCAGGCGGUUAUACAAGACAGGCGUGAAAUCCCCGGGCUUAACCUGGGAAUGGCGCCUGUGACUGUAUAGCUAGAGUGUGUCAGAGGGGGGUAGAAUUCCACGUGUAGCAGUGAAAUGCGUAGAUAUGUGGAGGAAUACCAAUGGCGAAGGCAGCCCCCUGGGAUAACACUGACGCUCAUGCACGAAAGCGUGGGGAGCAAACAGGAUUAGAUACCCUUGU
rnacentral:rRNA from 1 species